rnacentral:misc_RNA from 1 species
UCAAACUUGGUCAUUUAGAGGAAGUAAAAGUCGUAACAAGGUUUCCGUAGGUGAACCUGCGGAAGGAUCAUUAACAAAAUCUACCUUUAACCAUGUUGCAAUGUUAGACAAAUUUUUGAAGGUUGAAAAAUGAGAAUCUAUGGAUUUCAUUUUUCAUUUUCUAAUUUUGUCAUCCUUCCCUUACAUAAAAAUAUAAAGGAUGUUUGUUUUUAAACAUUUUUUUUUUUUGUAAGGGAAAGUAAAUAAACUAUUUUAUUUAAGACUUUGUUAUUUGAAAAAUAAUAAUGUUUUAACAACUUUUAACAAUGGAUCUCUUGGCUCUUGCAUCGAUGAAGAACGCAGC